rnacentral:sRNA from 1 species
GUAGAGGUGAUUAUAGGUGGAAUGUCCGUCCGAAUAUUGCCCCAAAUACUGAAUAUCAAAUAUGUUGAAUUAAUUGAUGUCUAAUAGAUAUUCUCACUAAUUACAUGAAGAGAUAGUAGUAUUUAUAAGGAAUGAAAUGGGGAGCUUUAAACUUUAUCAUAAUUAAAGUUUUCUCAUAGAAGCUUCAAGAAACAACAUGAAUCAUCAAGAUGUAUCAAGAUAUCCAUUGUUCCAACAGACAGAUUAAUAUAUCUACAUCAUAGCAUUAAGUUGAUCGAAAAAAAACAAAAAAAGUCUGUUAUUUGUGCAUGCACAUACAAACAACCCCAACUUUACAGUCCCAAGCGUGAAUUUAUCUCUCUCUGAUUUGUAUUUCCAUAUUAGUGUCUAGGAUGUGCAAGGGCCUUUCUGUACAAAUCCAUGUCCUAUUCCUACAUUCUAAUGUUGCCAUAUUGUGUUGUGAUAUGCCGAGCCAGUGACCCACCUCCCGGCCCACUCCAAACAAACCUUAAUUUUAAGCUUAACUUACCCCUGAACAAAC